GAUGAACGCUGGCGGCGUGCUUAACACAUGCAAGUCGAACGGAAAGGCCCAAGCUUGCUUGGGUACUCGAGUGGCGAACGGGUGAGUAACACGUGGGUGAUUUGCCCUGCACUUCGGGAUAAGCCUGGGAAACUGGGUCUAAUACCGGAUAGGACGAUGGUUUGGAUGCCAUUGUGGAAAGUUUUUUCGGUGUGGGAUGAGCUCGCGGCCUAUCAGCUUGUUGGUGGGGUAAUGGCCUACCAAGGCGUCGACGGGUAGCCGGCCUGAGAGGGUGUACGGCCACAUUGGGACUGAGAUACGGCCCAGACUCCUACGGGAGGCAGCAGUGGGGAAUAUUGCACAAUGGGCGCAGGCCUGAUGCAGCGACGCCGCGUGGGGGAUGACGGCCUUCGGGUUGUAAACUCCUUUCGCUAGGGACGAAGCGUUUUUGUGACGGUACCUGGAGAAGAAGCACCGGCUAACUACGUG
rnacentral:rRNA from 1 species